GUGGAGCAGCGGAAAUCUCCUCCCAAAACCACAUCUAUCUAUGAAAAUAUAACAAAGACAACCCUUCCUAGAAUAAAGACCAGAGGACACAGGACAAUAUCCAGACCACAUCCGCACCUGAGAGAACCCAGCGCCUCGCGAAGGGGAGAUGUUGCUGGGGGACCUGGUGCUCUGGACUGUGGAGAUCCUAGGGUGAGAGCUGUAUAUUCCCCCCAGAGGAGAAUAAUGGAGAAAUAACGCCUGCCCUACUUGCCUCAAACAGGUUGAAGGAAGAACAUGGGAAAAAGGAAGAAGCAAGCCCUUCAAAACUCCACCUAAAAAUGUUCAGCUGCUUUUCUUGCUGAAGCACUCGGAUGGCCCAUAGGACAAAGGCACAGUUCAACCCCUUCAGUUAGAGAUGAGCUGACUGGAGUUGAGAGAAGAGCUGUGACUGGUGCAAGGUCAC